GACGAACCGUCCUAACGUUGUUCGGAAUCACUGGGCUUAAAGGGCGCGUAGGCGGGCUGCCAAGUCCGGGGUGAAAUCUUUCGGCUUAACCGGAAAAGGGCCUUGGAAACUGGCAGCCUCGAGGGGGGUAGGGGCCUGUGGAACUUCGGGUGGAGCGGUGAAAUGCGUUGAUAUCCGAAGGAACGCCGGUGGCGAAAGCGACGGGCUGGACCCCUUCUGACGCUGAGGCGCGAAAGCCAGGGGAGCAAACGGG
rnacentral:rRNA from 1 species